ACACACACACACACACACACACUAGUGAGAUGGCUCAGUGAUUAAGCACACUUGCUGCUCUUUCAGAGGACUCAGGUUGAGUUCUACCAUGCACGUGGUAGCUCACAACAGUCUAUAACUCCAGUUCAAGGGGAUCUAAUGCCCUCUUCUGGUCUCCACAGGCACCAUAUACAUAUGGUAUACAAACAUGUAUGCAGGCAAAACACUUAUAAAAUAAAACUUAAAAAUCUAACAUAUACAUAUAUAUUCAAUUAUAUGUGAAUAUAUACAUUUAUAUAAAAUACCAAUAUAUAUUUUAAGCAUGUUGCUUACAUUAUAUGUAGGGGAAGGGAGGAGGCACACACUGUAGUUUCAGCACUUGGAAGGCUGGGGCAGAAAGAAGAAUUACCAGAAGUUCAAGGAUAACCUGGGUCACAUAAUGAGCUCCAGACCAGAGUGUGCUCCGUAGUGACCAAGACUGCCAGAAAGAAAGGGAGAGGGAGGGGUUUUAGCGUGACUUCAACUUACAAAACAACUGCGUCUCCAGCUCACUUUUGUUGUUGUGUUUGAGGUAGGGUUUCUCUCUGAAGUCCUGGAUUACUUAGAACUCACUCUGUAGACCAGGCUGGUCUCAAACUCAGAGAUCUGCCACCCCCUGCCCCCUUGUGUUGGGAUUAAAGGCAUGUGCCUCCACCUCCUCUAUAGAGUCCCUCUAUUCUUGGGAGUUAGCCAAGAAGGAAGGAAGGGGGCCUGUGGAGGAAGGUAGAUGCCCACCACAUAACUCUUUUGAUGAAAAGUCAAGGCACUGAAGAAGGGAGCUGGUUGGUAACCCACUCGGAGCAGCUGGAGGGAAAGCACGUCUAUGUCUGUCAGCAGGAGUGCUAACUGACAGAAUAACAGCUGUGUAUGGAAUGGGAUAGUUCUUCAGUCUUAAAAAGGAACAAAAUUCUGACCUAACAUUGGUGAACUCUAAAACAUUACAUUAGGUAAAAUAGGUCAGACACAAAGACAAAUACUAGAGCGAUACCAGUUCUUAAGAGCACUGGUUGCUCUUCCAGGGACCCACUUGGCAGCUCACAACCACGUGUAACUCCAUUUCAGGGGAUCUGGUGCCCUCUUCUGGCCUCUGCGGGCACUGCAUGCACAUGGUGCACAGACAUACACAAAGGCAAAAUACCCUUACACAUCAACAAU
rnacentral:lncRNA from 1 species